GGAAAAAAUAACUGACUUUUAAAUGAUUUUUAGUUGUAAUUAUAACAAUAGCUAUACUUCUUCCACUGAUGGCUUUUUUCCCAUAGAUGGUCUAUUUUUAUCCUGACAUUUGUGUCCAUUCUAUGAAUUUCAUCAUGGGGAAGAAACAGCAGUUCGUCUUAGAGCAGCUCACUUUCGAUCUCCAGGACAUAACAUCAUGCACAUCAAAGAGAAGUGAUUCAUGAUUCUCAAGUAACUGUAAAAUAAAACAAUUUGAUACGAGGCUGGUGUCUGGCUACAGAUAAAGAAGUUUGAUGAAUAACUGAGUGAAAAAUGUGAACAUCCCUAUGCAUCUAGUGUUAUCACAUGUAUCCAAUGACAAGUGUUUAUUCUCAAGAAGCAGGAGAUGCCUCAAGAUUCACUGACCAUAUUUAUAAUUAUACAUUUAUAAAUGUAUAAUUAUAAAAAGUAGCAUAGUGUUAAUUAUACAAUGCUGAAAUUAUUAUUUUAUUGGAGUAGAUAUUCUCCAAUCUGUAAUUAUAAUAAUCACUAUUAAAAAUUCCAAUUACCAUGUUAAUGUGUUCAAUUGCAUGUGUGUAUAUCUUGGCAAAAAUUCAGUUCUCUAGGUACAAUGUUGUGGCACUGUUACUAAAAAUUUAAUACAGCAUUUCACAGAACAGAAUUUGAUCGAAAUAAUAGACUGGCACAACCUCUGGAAAC
rnacentral:lncRNA from 1 species